UACGGAGAGGGCAAGCGUUGUUCGGAAUCACUGGGCAUAAAGGGCACGUAGGCGGAUCAGAAAGUCGGUUGUGAAAUCCCGGGGCUCAACCCCGGAACUGCUUCCGAAACUCCUGAUCUAGAGGGUGAGAGGGGAGAGUGGAACUUCUGGUGGAGCGGUGAAAUGCGUAGAGAUCAGAAGGAACACCGGUGGCGAAAGCGGCCCCCUGGACAAAGACUGACGCUCAGGUGCGAAAGCGUGGGGAGCAAACAGG
rnacentral:rRNA from 1 species